rnacentral:rRNA from 1 species
AGAGUUUGAUUCUGGCUCAGGAUGAACGCUAGCGGCAGGCUUAACACAUGCAAGUCGAGGGGCAGCGAGAUCAGUGCUUGCACUGAUUGUCGGCGACCGGCGCACGGGUGCGUAACGCGUAUGCAACCUACCCAUUACAGGGGGAUAACACUGAGAAAUCGGUACUAAUACCCCAUAACAUCCAGGGAGGCAUCUUCUUGGGUUGAAAACUCCGGUGGUAAUGGAUGGGCAUGCGUUGUAUUAGUUAGUUGGUGGGGUAACGGCUCACCAAGACCACGAUACAUAGGGGGACUGAGAGGUUAACCCCCCACAUUGGUACUGAGACACGGACCAAACUCCUACGGGAGGCAGCAGUGAGGAAUAUUGGUCAAUGGACGCAAGUCUGAACCAGCCAUGCCGCGUGCAGGAAGACGGCUCUAUGAUUUGUAAACUGCUUUUGUA